rnacentral:sRNA from 1 species
GCCGUGUCGAGGAUGCGGAGGAAAGA